GCUUCAUUAGCUCAGGGGCAGAGCGUGGAGCUGUUAAGCUUUAGGAUCCCCUCUCUAGUCGAUGACGGAGAACUCCAAGGUCACUGGUUCGAAACCAGUAUGAAGCG